GGAGAGGCUGCGGCUCAGUGGCAGAGCAUCUGCGCAACAUGCAGAAAAUUCCAGGUUCAAUCCCGAGCAGCUCCA
rnacentral:tRNA from 1 species